rnacentral:lncRNA from 1 species
AGUAGAUAGAGAGAGUUGAGAUAUAAAGUAGAGAGAGAGAGAGAGAGAGUUGAGAUAUAAAGUAGAGAGAGAGAGAGAGAGAGCUAGUGAGUUGAGAUAUAAGUAGAGAGAGAGAGCUAGUGAGUUGAGAUAUAAAGUAGAGAGAGAGAGAGAAUUGUGAUAUAAAGUAGAGAGAGAGAGAGCUAGUGAGUUGUGAUAUAAGUAGAGAGAGAGAGAGAGAGCUAGUGAGUUGAGAUACAAAGUAGAGAGAAAGAGAGCUAGUGAGUUGAGAUAUAAAGUAGAGCGAGAGAGAGAGUGAGUUGAGAUAUAAAGUAGAGAGAGAGAGAGUGAGUUGAGAUAUAAAGUAGAGAGAGAGUGAGUUGAGAGAUAAAGUUGAGAGAGAGAGUGAGUUGAGAUAUAAAGUAGAGAGAGAGAGUGAGUUGAGAGAUAAAGUUGAGAGAGAGAGUGAGUUGAGAGAUAAAGUUGAGAGAGGGAGAAAGCUAGUGAGUUGAGAUAUAAGUAGAGAGAGAGAGAGAGCUAUUGAGUUGAGAUUUAAAGGAGAGAGAGCUAGUGAGUUGAGAUAUAAAGCAGAGAGAGAGUGAGUUGAGAGAUAAAGUUGAGAGAGGGAGAAAGCUAGUGAGUUGAGAUAUAAAUAGAGAGAGAGAGAGAGCUAUUGAGUUGAGAUUUAAAGGAGAGAGAGAGUGAGUUGAGAUAUAAAGUAGAGAGAGAGAGUGAGUUGAGAGAUAAAGUUGAGAGAGAGAGUGAGUUGAGAGAUAAAGUUGAGAGAGGGAGAAAGCUAGUGAGUUGAGAUAUAAGUAGAGAGAGAGAGAGAGCUAUUGAGUUGAGAUUUAAAGGAGAGAGAGCUAGUGAGUUGAGAUAUAAAGCAGAGAGAGAGAGUGAGUUGAGAGAUAAAGUUGAGAGAGGGAGAAAGCUAGUGAGUUGAGAUAUAAGUAGAGAGAGAGAGAGAGAGCUAGUGAGUUGAGAUAUAAGUAGAGAGAGAGAGAGAGAGAGAGAGAGAGUUAGUUGAGAUAUAAAGUAGUGAGACAGAGAGAGCUAGUGAGUUGAGAUAUAAAGUAGAGAGAGAGAGAGAGUUGAGAUAUAAAGUAGAGAGAGAGAGAGAGUUGAGAUAUAAAGUAGAG